GUGGGGAAUCUUGGACAAUGGGGGGAACCCUGAUCCAGCCAUGCCGCGUGGGUGAAGAAGGCCUUCGGGUUGUAAAGCCCUUUAGUUGGGGAGGAAAGGUUGCUGGCUAAUACCUGGCGACUGUGACGUUACCCAAAGAAUAAGCACCGGCUAACUCCGUGCCAGCAGCCGCGGUAAUACGGAGGGUGCGAGCGUUGUCCGGAUUUAUUGGGUUUAAAGGGUGCGUAGGCUGGAAGGUCAGUCAGCGGUGAAAAGCUGUCGCUUAACGAUAGUCUUGCCGCAGAUACUUCCUUUCUUGGAUGAGGAGGAGGCCACUGGAACGGAUGGUGUAGCGGUGAAAUGCAUAGAUAUCAUCCAGAACACCGAUUGCGAAGGCAGGUGGCUGUACCUUAAUCGACGCUGAUGCACGAAAGCAUGGGGAGCAAACAGGAUUAGAUACCCCAGUAGUCC
rnacentral:rRNA from 1 species